CGCUGGGGCCGGGGCCCCUCACGGGAGCUCCGACCGCGGUCCGUGGCAGGAGCGCCCUGAGCGGCGGGGUGCGGCCGGGCUGCUGGGGACCAUGCCGGGCUGCUGGGAACCCUGCCGGGCUGCUGGGGACCCUGCCGGGCUCCUGGGGACCCUGCCGGGCUCCUGGGAACCCUGCCGGGCUCCUGGGAACCCUGCCGGGCUGCUGGGGACCCUGCCGUGCUAGGCCUGCCCAGGAGGCUGAGGCUGCCCUGCCCCAGGGGCUGGCGGGGCUUUCUCUGCCCUGUGCGUGGGAGCAAGUGAGGGGAAUGGUUCCUGCAGCUCCCGCUGGAGGGAUCUCGUCUUGCCUUGGCGACGUGUGUCCCGGUCUCACGUGGGCUGGCUAACGAAACAAACGUGAUCCAGAAGAAAACCUCUUUGUCCUGACAGCUGCAGCCACUCCUCCUCCAGAAAUUUUAAUUCCACGGAUAACAAGGCGUUGAACAGCUUAAUGCCAUGACUUGAAGGGAGAGAGAUUCCUGCAGAAAUAACAUGAGGCUCUUUUAUUAAUAAAAGGAACGAGCCGCUUUGUUCCGGAUAUCAUGUCCCAUAUGGUAAGAUUUAAAAAGAUGGACUUUGAUAUCCUGUGGUUCUGCCAUCUAACAGUUAUUACUAAAUAGAAGCUGUAAGAAUUUUAAUGCAUUUGACCUUUGCUUCGUUGAAAUAAACAAAACUGACACAGCUA